AUUGAACGCUGGCGGCAGGCCUAACACAUGCAAGUCGAACGGUAACAGGAUGAUGCUUGCUUCUUUGCUGACGAGUGGCGGACGGGUGAGUAAUGUCUGGGAAACUGCCUGAUGGAGGGGGAUAACUACUGGAAACGGUAGCUAAUACCGCAUAACGUCGCAAGACCAAAGAGGGGGACCUUCGGGCCUCUUGCCAUCGGAUGUGCCCAGAUGGGAUUAGCUAGUAGGUGGGGUAACGGCUCACCUAGGCGACGAUCCCUAGCUGGUCUGAGAGGAUGACCAGCCACACUGGAACUGAGACACGGUCCAGACUCCUACGGGAGGCAGCAGUGGGGAAUAUUGCACAAUGGGCGCAAGCCUGAUGCAGCCAUGCCGCGUGUAUGAAGAAGGCCUUCGGGUUGUAAAGUACUUUCAGCGGGGAAGAAGGGAAUAAAGUUAAUACCUUGGCUCAUUGACGUUACCCGCAGAAGAAGCACCGGCUAACUCCGUG
rnacentral:rRNA from 1 species